CCGACAUCGCGCACGUGCCCCCCUCCGCGGCCGCCGCCGCCCUGGACCUGCCUAAGCAGGUCCGCCCCGCUGGCCAGAACAAGAAGGGAGGAGGACACGCCCGCGUCCACCACCACCACGCCUCCGUCGCCGACAAGGUCCUCCAUCUCAUCACAUCUCAUCUCCAUCCCCAUCUCGCUCACACGCAUACUGCACACUGGGAUGGGAUCCAUGAUUCAACACACGUAGUACUAGCUACUAGUAUCGAUCUUACUCUCACAGGCAGGGAUCAGUCAGUGGUGUCUUUGAUUCAAUUCUGAUCAGACAGUGCCCACUGACUGACCCCAAGCAACAGUGUUUACUAGCUCUAACUGUUUAUAUCCAUUGUGUUCUCAUUGCUCUCUUAAAACCCAAAUCCCUGACUAGAUAGAAGUUCACAAAUUUGCGGCGGCCAAAAUCCGGUGGGCGACGGUGACUUGGUCACACCGGCUUGCGGCGGCUAGCUUUAAUUUGGUGUUGUUUCAGCUCUGAAUAGUUUCAGUUACACAGUUGCAAAUGCUAAUGGAAUUCAGAAUUUUAUGUGGACAAUAAUCCUUUGGAGGCUGUUGUUUCCGUUAUGCAAAUAAAUCACAUGCUAACAUCAUUCAUUCUGAACAACUUCUUUCUAUUGCUUGCCAAUUGGUUUAUGGGCUCCCAGAGAACCUGACAAGAUAUAUUAGCUAGAUUUUUGAAGUUGACAAAAUGGGAAGGAAAAACUGCAGUGUAGGAUCACUCUGAACAUAAAAUUCUGAAUCAGAGACAGUACCCACAUGUGUGCAUGCUGCAUCUUCAUUUUCAGAGUGAUUAAGAAAAAAAGUUCCUUUUCUUUGCAUUUUAGGUCCGAUUAUGAUGCUCCUGUUAAGUACCUAUGCACAUUUUAGGUUCAGGUUCAGUCAAAAAAUUUACAUGGAGCGUUCAGGUUCAGUCAAGAACACAUUUGAUGUACCAACUCAGGUAUAAAGAAGAAAGCCGGGGUAAAGAAACCAUUCAGAAAAGGGAGAUGGAUGUCCAGCAUUUAUGUAAAAUGCAUUCUGUAACUGAGUAAUUGUGUAACAUCCAGCAUUCCGUAUAAUAAUUUUAGACCCCAUGUUGUAACAUCCAACGGCUACUUAGUUAGUCAGCAAGCUAUCCUUUUCCUAGUAAAACUGGGUUGCGAUUCUUAUUCCUUGUCCAUGGAUUGAAACUAUGGGUUAAAUCCAUAAAUGGCAUAUGGUUUGGAUUGGCCUGGGUGGAAAACGCAUGUAGUUUGGUUUGGUUUGGAU
rnacentral:lncRNA from 1 species